AGUGAACGCUGGCGGUAGGCCUAACACAUGCAAGUCGAACGGCCGCACAGUAAGAGCUUGCUCUUACGGGUGGCGAGUGGCGGACGGGUGACGCAUACAUCGCAAUCUUAUUUUUCGGGGGGGACAACGGAGGGACGCUUACACUAAUAGCUAAUACUAUCUACGGGUGGAAGCAAGAGAUAUUGACAGUCUUGGUGUCUGUAAUAGCUGGUGGCGGAUUAGAUAGUUGGGGGGGUAAGGGAACACCAAGGCGACGAUACGUAGCUGGUCUGAGAGGAUGAUCAGCCACACUGGAACUGAGACACGGUCCAGACUCCUACGGGAGGCAGCAGUGGGGAAUAUUGGACAAUGGGCGCAAGCCUGAUGCAGCCAUGCCGCGUGGGUGAUGAAGGUCUUCGGGUUGUAAAGCUCUUUUGUUGGGAAAGAAAAGCAGCAGGUGAAUCCGUCGCUGUCCUGACGGUACCUAAUGAGAAAGCACCGGCUAACUACGUG
rnacentral:rRNA from 1 species